UGUUUGCACUGUUCUGGGUAAGCGUGGCUGUUUUAUCGUUUGUCUGCUUUAAUAAUGGCUAUUAAUACUAAUUGGUUUAUCUGCUUAGCCUCCUUUGCUGCACUUCCAGUAUCUGGACCGAUCUGUCCAUUCAUUUGUUUGCUGACAGGAAGGUAAGGGCUUAGCGUGGCUAGGUAACAUCUACCCCAUGUAAACAAAACCUUCACAUAGCGUUUUCUUACAGUUGCACUGCAUCUAGGCGGAAUUGGGAAUCUGAUUAUUUGGCAGUGCAGUCAUUUAUCAGGUCACAGCCUUCUGACUCAUCAGCAUUGCACCUGGAGUGACACUCGCUGCUGUUUUGCCUACUUAUAAAUUGUUUUAAAAUACUAAUCUGCACUUUCUCUGGGGAUAAAGUGCAACAUUGUAGGGCUACUGUAUCACUGUUUUACUUGUAUCGUUUCAUUUUCUUGUCUGUCUUUUAGGGACUGAGGCUUCUGUGGUGGCGGUGGUGACCCCUGGUGGCGGUGUCUUGUCUUGUGUGUUUUGUUGGAGCACCUUUUUCUUUCUUUGUUUGCCGUGUUUUUGUAGUGUCCAGGGUGGUCCCCUUUUUCUGCACUGGAUGUUGCCCCUUCCCUCACUACUUCCCCCAUCGGUAAGCCUCAGUUUCCUUUGAAAUUUAGACAUUUUAUUAUCUUGUCAAAUGCAUUCACUGUUUUAACCAUUCAAUUUCAGAUUAUUGGAAAUUAAAGAUAUUUUGAAGUUUAAUAAAUUUUGUAGAACUUUCUG